AAGUUUGCAAACGACACACAGAUUUUACAUAUCGCGAAAGUAAAUUGGCAGGAACGUUCAACAGUCAAUUUGGCUUGAUCGCCAAGCGAUGCCGAAGCGUGAUUAUCGAUUCGACGGGUACCACCUGUACACGCGCGGAUGGCAGCGAAUUGUACUUUCGCAGUUACGGGCGUACAAAUUGCGGCAUGCCGUAUCAGUCACCGCCGAUAAGCCAGCCGUUGCUGCGCGGCCGAUUAGCAUAAUUUCAGAAAUGCCGGGAGUCAUCCUGGCGCACGUGAUGCGUCUGUUUCCGACCGAUAUAUGCCGAAAAGCGAAAGCGCACGCUGCACCUGCAUAUCCGCGUUAUGCACCUCAACACGCGCCAUAAUGCGCGAAUUAUUCCCGCGAAUGCGGGGAAUUCCGCUCGGUUAGAUGUAUUGUCGUUCCUCCGACGGAAUUAUUCCGAUCCUAUUUCGCUCGCUGGGAGAUUAUCGAAACUAAUUGGAAAUAAAAUUUUAUGCUCCGUACGCUUUCAACCAGCUAUUAGAUCCCUUUAAUUACAUUUUAACUACCUAUAAUUAUAACUCAAUUUAAUCAUUGUCAAUGUUUCAUCAAAGUCUUAACAGUAAAUAAUUUUACGAAUUCUUAUUAAAAAUAAUACUCUCGUUCCUAGUUUCACACACUUAAUAUCUGUAUUUGAUCAAAUGUUAUGGGUAUUUCAUUUCUAUAGCUAUAAAGUAAAUUAUGAUGGCCAUACGGAGAAGAUGGUCAAUGGUUACAAUUUCUCCAAUAAUUGCUAAAUAAUGUGUUUUGUACUUAUUUUCAAAGAUAAUCAAUGUUUACCGUGCGUAGUUUAUGUGCGUAUACUUUUCAAAAUAACAGUAUUGUAGAUAUUAUAUCAUGUUUUUACUUUUGACUGCCUGCAAAGUUUUUCGCGCGUUCAUUAAAAAUUGCCACAAUGUCGAAUAAAUUACAAUUGAGCAAAAUCACAAUUAACGUUAGACAUGUAACAAAGGUAUGUAAAUUAUAAUGUGUAAAUAUAUCUUUUAUUUCUUUGUCUAUUCUUUAAUAAAUACUAUGACUAUCUUUCUCUCACAGUUUAGUAAAAUGGCCCAUGACUUCUCAGAGUAUUUAUGUACAUAUGUUAUAAAAAAGACAAAAAUUAAGUUGCACGCCUAAUAUUUUAAAUUUAAUAUGUUUUUUCAGUACUGGCAAUGAGGUAAAUAGAUGCUCAACUUAUAUAAAUAUUUAAUAUUAAAAAUGUUUAAAAAUAUAAUUACAUGUGAUAAUAUGUGGCAUUAAAACUAAAUAUAUAAAAUCAUAAGCUUUUUUUAUAAUUUUAUAAAUGUCAAGUAUGUAAAAUACAUAUGGCCAAUCCGUCCUAUGAUACUAUGCCCAUCUUCUCUCUAAUAGUUAUGAAAGAUGGCCAAUGUUUAUGUUUCAAUAUUUUGAUAAUAUAAAAUUUUUAUUAAAUAUUGUCUCUUUGAUAUCGAUAGCGUUACAUGCUUUGAAGUUCAAUAAGUCAUUUUCUCAUGAAGCUUCAAUAAAGUCAUUUUCCAAACGUUACUCAAACAACAAUAAGAAUAAAAGUAUGGUUUCUAUUUUAAAAACUAUGGCCAUCAUACCCGUGUUUUACCCUAAUAGAUCCUAUUAAUGACGCAAUUAAGAUUAAUGUUUCCCGGAAAAGCUUCCGAUAUUGCUCGUUAACGUUAAUUACUACGACAGUUUCGCUCGUUGUCAGUAAUUAAUUUAAUCGCACCGUUUCAACUUGAGGGGUAAGUACACGAUGCGAUAUUAACGUAUCCUAACUAAGCUACAAAUCGAGCGAGGUACGGGUAAUAACACUGUAUACAUCUAUAAGUAGAUUUGCUGAAGAAGACGUUGCUCAAUGCCUCCCGCUCGUUCGUCCGCUCGUGAAAGCGAGACGACACACGUGCGCCGUCGCCAUGGUAUUACGUCGUUUGACGUAAUUAGCAACCUGUCAUUAAUUCCCCGACGUGCUAGUGCGUCCUACGGGAGGAAACUGCCGUGCCUACGGAAACGAUAUGACCUUUAUCGCGCGGACAUUUUGCGCCCACGCACGGCGAGGAACAAGUGCAUAAGUUAACACGAUACGCGGUCGGUCGGACGGUGAUUUCGCGUUAUUCAUUCGGAAGCGCGAACAAAAGUGGAACUUCGUGGAGAAAGAAAGAGGAGAGGAACGCGUUAGGGGGGCCCCCACGCGAAUGCGCGCGAUCUAAUUGGAUUUAUCGCCUCCCGCAGUUGAUCUCGUUCCGACAGAGAGAGAUACGUAUUAGCACAGAAUUCGCGGAGAGGACAUUGGUUAAAAGGGAAAUCUUCGUGCAACAAGCGGCGUGUGCUAAAUGGAUUUAGCCGAGUACUCAACCGCGCAACGUGACAUUGAUAAUUUGCCACGAAGACCAAGCGUGGACGAGGAAAUGUAAGAGACAAUAGGGUCGGUUGGCACCGUAUCCUUCCUGUUAUGUAAUGCUUUACACUCUCUAGUUACACGACCGAAUCCUUUGAGUAAUUAUGUUGAUUUGGAUCAUUAAUGUUUAUUAGUAAUAUGACGAUAAAUAGUCAUUAUUGUUAGUUUAGUUUACAUAUUAUAAUUAUUAUAAAAUUUGAUUUAAUCUAAUUGAUAAUAAUGUUCUCGAUAAUUUCUCUCUUUGUAAUAUAAAAUUAUUUAAUGUUAUCACAUUCGUUCCUUUAUAUUUACGUAAUGUUACAAAUUUAGGUAUUUAUAAUAUGUUAUCGAGUUUAAAAGCAUUUGUUUUUAAAUAAAUAUAAAGUACGUAAAUCUCUCUACCCAGACUGAUCCAUCCUCCCUUUGGUGCUGUCAGACGUAGAUGUUGGUGGUUAAACGAAGUUGUUUGGUCCCAUCAGAGACGGUUACGGGAAUGCUUCCUUUCUUCCCAGUACCAGCAAAUAUUUUGUCAUUUGUAGUACGCUACGGACUUAGCGCAGACCGAUAUCAUUUAUCCGUCGGUCCGAAACAUUCCGUCUUCUUUUUACAGAAAUUAAGUUUCAGUGUAUUUUUCGAUUCUCCUUGGAUUCUUCGAGUUUCUAUUGAUACAUCGCUGAUGACUCGUCUUGAAUCGCAUCAUUCGGAAGAUUCAAUAACAGUCAGAAAUUAUCUGAUUUUAUGGGCAAAGUUCAUUUUUACUUGCGAGCAGGAAACUUUGAGCGCCCGUAUAGUUUUCGUAAUUUCGAUCCAUUGUAACGCGAAAACAUAAACAGAGUCCCUCUCCUAAAAAUUCCUAGUGAUUCCGAAUAGAAAUUUCUGUUGCACAAUUCCAUGUCGGAAACCGGGUUUCGUUUGCGCAAAGCGUGGCGAAACUGUCACAGAGCUUGUACCACGAAAAACGUCGAUAAAGCCUGUCACACGGCGCUUACGCAAUCCAUGGCAAAAUCCUUGUAAACCCGGCGCGGCCAAAAUGUCCGUAAAUCUUGCGCAACCGCGGCCACAUACGAUCAGCUCCGACACGCCGUCGACCAUUUGCUAUUCACUUGGCGGAAUAAGUGUACACGCGUUAUUGUUUUCGGCCCGCAUGCGGGACUCGAACUGCCGUGUAUACAUUACACUUCAAACGCGUAUAAUUCAAUGCCGUUUGAUCAAACGAACGGGAUAACGUAACGCAUUUUGAAGAGCAACGGUGAAAGAUUAAAGAAUACGCAUUUCUUCACAAAACAAUAACAAUAACAAACAAAAACAAUAAUACGUAAAUAUAAUAAAGAAAAAUAUUUUGGUAUAAUGUAAAAUUGUUUUCCUAAAAAAAAAAAUCUUCCAAUUGAACAUUCAUAUUUGGAAAUUCCGUCACGUUUUGAAACGCGAGAAGUGUUACCUCGUACACCUCGAGAUUUCUAAUCGCAAAAGAAAAAAAAAACGCUAGACGACCCGAUGAGUUAAUCGACGCACCAGGUGGAAUCGACCGUAGGAUAAAGUGGCAUCAUCGUCACGUUUGACGUAUGGCUGUCCCUAUUUGCGAAGCGUCACCAUAAGCUAGAACAUUGUCGGAAUCGCGAAGAACAGUUGGGAUUUGACGGCCGGCCAACCGGCGCUGCCGCAAUCUGUGUGUGUGUGUGUGCUCUCGCUAAUUGCGUAACGGUUGGCACAAUCGGUGCUCCGGUACACGGACGAUACACAUCGAGCACGUGCUCACCUGCGACGACGACGACGACGACGACGACGACGACGGCCGGCAGCUAAGCACUCGAGGAACUGUUGAAAUUUUCCGCGCGUGCAACUGCGGUCUCUCGGCCGACGACGGCCGUCGUUUAGGCUUUAACUCCGAGAGGCGCGCUUUUGUUAGCGACAAACUAACUUUCCCGCGAUGAUUAACGUCGGCCGCCGUUUGCCGGCCGCCGCGUUCUAAUUUGCAAUUAGCUGCAUUGUAAGCUCGCGCGAACGUGGUUGUUCGUUUCUGCGAGAGAAAGGGAGGACACACACACACACCGUUCGAAACGCUCGCCGAAAAUACAUUCCGAGAGGGAGGUGGCGGGGAGCGACACACCUACACUCCUGAGCUUCCGAAUGCGCUUUGGCAGCAGCCUCCGAAAGCUCUUGCGGCAAUCCUUCUUAACCCGAUCGCAAACACCAACGAGGCAUCCCGGCGGCUGGCGAAGCCAAUAGCGAUUCGGCACGGCGCCCUUGCCUUUUCGGUGGCAUCCGAAAAUAUCGCGCGGAAGCUCGCGCUAAUACUGCGAUCCCGGAAUGGAGGACGAUCGCCAUCGAUAAGGACGCUUUCCUAACAGCAAUGGGGAAUGUCGUCAAUUUUUUUUUUUUUUUUUUUUAAAGAACUAAGUCAGAAUGCGCCGGGGAAUACGGAAAAUCGAUUAAUCUCUCACCGCGCUUCUCCGAAGUCGAGAGACGGUCGCCGGCGGUUGCGUAACGCGCGUGCCAGAAGAGCCGCGUAUCGUAUCUGUGAUUCAGUUUGCUGCACGCGCGUAAGAGUGAAUUGAACGAGAACGAGAGUUUCGAGUGCGAUCGGAAUCGCACGGGCGAAUCGCACGUUUCCGUCUCCCCACAGUCGCGUCACCACGAAACACGGCCAUCAAAUCAAAUCACAUUAUCGAUUGCGCUACGGCGGUAAGGACCGGAAUUGUGCGGUUUUACUGUCACCGUCAUAAAAUACCACCGCAGAACAUCGACCGUGAAACUGUGCCAACCGACGAGGAUUAGGUUAACCAGCGAACGAUUAAGGUACUUCGGACGCUCGCCAAGGAUUUUAAUAAACCGCUGCUACAAAUAAGGUUAACGACGUUCGUAACGUCUUUCAGGUUGACUGAAGAAACCCCGCUCUUCCAUUAUUCUGGUCUAAAUAAAACUGUAAGUGGCGCGAACAAUGGCUGUGUGCGACGACUCUUAUUUCCGGUCGAAAGUUGAAGUUACGCUAGCGUCAACUGGUUAUGAAGAACAUUAUUGGAAAUCUUUUCGAGAAAGAUAACACAUACAUACGUUAAAAUGUAAGAGUAGCUGACGUACAAUGUAUUCUCGGAUCAAUUGGAUAUGGGAUAUUAAAAGAAACUAAGAUAGAUCUUAUUUCAUAAAUUAUCUCAAUAGA